UCCCUGGUGGUCAAGUGGCCAAGACUCUGUGCUCCCAAUGCAGGGGGUCAGGGUUCAAUCCCUGGUCAGGGAA
rnacentral:tRNA from 1 species